rnacentral:rRNA from 1 species
GACGAACCGUGCGAACGUUGUUCGGAAUCACUGGGCUUAAAGGGCGCGUAGGCGGGUGUGCAAGUCUGCGGUGAAAGCCUCCAGCUUAACUGGAGAAGUGCCGUGGAUACUGCAUAUCUUGAGGAGGGUAGGGGCAUCUGGAACAUUGGGUGGAGCGGUGAAAUGCGUUGAUAUCCAAUGGAACUCCGGUGGCGAAGGCGAGGUGCUGGACCCUUUCUGACGCUGAGGUGCGAAAGCGUGGGGAGCAAACAGG